rnacentral:lncRNA from 1 species
CCCUCAUACACUGUUGGUGGGAAUGCAAACUAGUGCAGCCACUAUGGAAAACAGUAUGGAGAUUUCUCAAAAAGUUAAAAAUAGAAAUACCUUAUGACCCAGCCAUCCCACUACUGGGUAUCUAUCCUAAGAACCUGAAAUCAGCAAUCCCAAGAGUCCCAUGCACCCCUAUGUUCAUCGCAGCAUUAGUUACAAUAGCCAAGACGUGGAACCAACCUAAAUGCCCAGAAACUGAUGAUUGGAUAAAGAAGAUAUGGUAUAUAUACACAAUGGAAUACUACUCAGCCAUAAAAAAGGACAAAAUUGUUCCAUUCGUAUCAACAUGGACAGACCUUGAGGGUAUUAGGUUAAGCGAAAUAAGCCAGACAGAGAAAGACAAACUCUGUAUGACUCCACUCAUAGGUGGAAGUUAACAUAUAGACAGGGAGAACCGAUCAGUGGUUACCAGGGAAAAGGGGGUUUGGGGGGAGGGCACAAAGGGUGAAGUGGUGUACCCACAACAGGACUAACAAUAAUGUACAACUGAAAUCUCACAAGGUUGUAAUCUAUCAUAAUAAAAAAGAAAGAAAGAAAGAAAGAAAGAAAUUGUGCUUAGUGUAAUAUGCUUAGUGUAACGAAAAUGUAUAAUGUAGAAAUGGAAAGUCUCUUAUAGAGUCAUGCUUUCAGAAAUGACCUCAACAAGGCUUUGAUAGAUUUUCUUCUAGUUCUGUUUUAUUGCAUAUGCACGCUGUGUUAGUUUGCUGGGGCUGCCACAACAAAGUACCACAGACUAGGUGACUUAAACAACAGAAAUUUAUUUUCUCACAAUUCUGGAGGCUAGAAUUCUGUAGGCUACAGUGCUGGUUUCUUCUGAGGCCUCUCUUGUUGACUUGUGAACGACCAUCUUCUACGUGUGUCUUCCCUCUGUGUAUGACUGCGUCCUAAUUUCCUUUUCUUAUAAAGACGCUAACCAUAUUGGACACUAAUGACCUCAUUUAACCUUAAUCACCUCUUUAAAGACCAUAUUUUCAAGUACAGUUAAAUCCUGAAGAACUGGGAUCAGGGCUCCAACAUAUGAAUUUUAGGGGGGAUAAACUCAGCCCAUAACACACACACAUAGUAGUGUUUUUCUGUACGAUUCUGCAACUUGCUUUUCUCACUGCAAGUGGUUUCAAUAUGCUUUCAGGUCAGAAGAUCUGUAUCUUCCUGAGGAGGCCACGAUAUUGAGUACUUAGCUUUUUUGUCCUACAUAUUUAUUGCAAAGGAGAAGAGGAGUGAGAAUGGCCAUUAAGCCGACAACCAACAGUACCAGUCCAAAAGCUAUGCUGGCUCUUCACUGCCUCUUUUCCGUCUUCUUUAAUUGCUUUUAUUUCUUUGCGUUUUCAUCCGAAGUUUCUGUGACUUCGUUACGCUUGCUCUUCAUAUCACACAUUACGUUGGCUACUGCAUCAAUUACACUGUUUGCUAUUUCUGUGAUAUGGAUUUGUUCUAAAAUGCUAUUUCGCCCUUGCUUUCUUUUCUUAGCUUUUCUAGCUUCCUUGUUUUAUCUCACUCAGUUGAUUUAUUAUACAUCUUUUAUCUCUUUUUUUCAUAGAGGCCACAUGCUCUUUCUUUUCUGUGAAAGGUGCAAGGCAUGUGUCAUCUGAAAGCCCCUGAUGUUUCCUGGGAUGUUUUCUCCGAGGCUUCUAUUUGACUCUCAAUAGUGUGAGUGCUUUUUCCUUUACUCUCCUCCUCGUGUCUUUGGAUUCCUUUUAUAUUCUGCCCCUAGUACUUAAAAAUGGACAUUGAUGCCCUAUGUUCAGCCUUUUAGUCGUCUGUAAUUGUGUGUGUGAGUGUGUGUACACAGGGGUCUUAAGCGGUUGGUGUUUGUGAUUUGUCUCAACUCCCUUCUUCUGGAACUCUCACUUGCCAGGGCCUUAUCUGGUCCGUGCACAUGCUUUCAGCUUUCAGAUGGCCCCAUCCCCAGGUGAGGUUCAUUCCCGCUGCAGGCCCCUUGAGGCCCCUUGAGCAUUGCUUUGAUGUGCAGUCAAACCUAUUUUAGCAUCUUUUAUGUCAUGAUGAGAAAAGAUUUUCUUACUUAAAGAUGAUAUAAAUAUUCAGCUAUAUGUUCUUCUAGUAAGUGUGAAAUAACUCCAAAUUUAUCUUUUUCCAAAUGGCUAGCCAACUUUUCCAAUGUCUUUUUUUUUCCCCUCGCUGGGAAAGAUUCACCCUGAGCUAACAUCUAUUACCAAUCUUCCUCUUUUUUUUUUCCCCCAAAGCUCCAGUACGUAGUUGUAUAUUCCAGUUGUAAGUCCUUCUAGUUCUUCUGUGAGAGCUGCCACCACAGCAUGGCUACUGACAAACAAGCAGUGUGAUGCUGCACCCAGGAACUGAACCCAGGCUGCUGAAGUGGAGUGCACCAAACUUUAACCACUAGGCCACCAGGGCUGGCUCAGCAAUGUCAUUUUUUAAAUUAUCCAAAUCUUUCCUACCUGUACAAUAUACUAAAUAAUGUAUAGACAUAGAAUUUUUCUAGGCUUUUCUUUCAGUCUUAUUGAUAUAGCUCUUCUAGUUACAACUAUUUUCAGAACACUAAUGUAUUUUCAGAAACAUAUGAUGUUAUUAUAUUAUUAUACGUAAUAUAAAUAAAAUUUUAGCUUCAUAAUACAGGAAAUAGACAGUUGUAUAAGUGAAAUAAGAGCUCCACUGCCCUCUCCUCCCACUUAGUUCCCAUGUACAUGCUGACCAAUGGAUGUGUUCCAAAUAAGAAAACCUACACUACUCUCCCGCCUGUGGGAAAUGCUGCCUGGAUCAGGGCAAAGGAACCCAGGCUGUGAGUCAAGAGUUAUCAAUUUAGGGGCCACCCCGUGGCCAAGUGGUUAUGUUCCCGCGCUCUACUUUGGCAGCCCAGGGUUUCACUGGUUCGGAUCCUGGGUGCAGACAUGACACUGCUCAUCAGGACACACUGAGGGGGCAUCAUACAUGCCACAACUGGAAGGACCAACAACUAAAAUAUACAACUAUGUACCAGUGGCUUUGGGGAGAAGAAGAAAAAAUUUUUUAAAAAAGUUAUCAAUUUGUCUGAAGUUAUCAAAUCCUUAUUUUAGCAGAACAGAGGGGGAAAGAAAGUCUUAUAUAGAUUUUUUAAAUGAUCUUAACAGGUGGCCCCAGAAAUUAUCUUAGGGAGGGAGCACCCUUUGUUUACAAAAAUCUUUCAUAGUCCAUUUAGAUAUAUAAAUUUGGUUCUCAGGUUGUGAGGCCGGGUCAUGAAGUGUAGAGUAAAGAGGGAAUUCAAUUGCUUUAUGAGAACAAAGGGAUUUUAUUUCAGACUCCUAAGAGAAGAAGACAGAAACAAGAAAGUAUGAGAGGAGAGGUAGAGGCCAGCGACACAGUAACAUCCCCAGUGAUGGGAGAGCUAAACGGACUUUGCAGGGGACAUCUAAUAUUCAAAGCUGGGCUCUUGGUAUUGUUUUGACACAAACUCCUCCAUCUCUCCGGAUUCUCAGCAUCAGCUGCUCCUCAAAUGAACAGCAUGUGCGUUGGAGGGAGGAGGGAGCGGAAGAAAGUGGCUGUGUUUGUGUCUAGAUCUAUGUGUUGUCAUGGGAUGUCCAUAACCUAAACUUAUUUAGCAGAAACAGCAUCUUAGAGCAGAGGUAACCACGAGCGGGUAUGUUCUCCAAACAUUUGCAAAAAUUCGGGGAAGUUCAUUAAUUUCUACAAGUUGUAAAAUGGAGACUUUGGAUUCUACUAAAUCUUGUGAGCAGGAUGACCCCAGCUGACAUCUUACAGUUAUUUAAAACUUCACUGAAUAUAUCUGUGUUUACCUCUCAAAAGAACUGGCAUCAUUCAUAUCUUUGGGGAAAUGAAUCUUCAUAUUGCUCAAUUUACCUCCGAGAAACUAUGGGGAGAGAGAAGGAACAAACAAAAUUUCAAAGCCUCUGCCAGUUCUUCUAAUGAUCCUUUUUUUUUCUUUUGAGGAAGAUUAGCUCUGAGCUAACAUCUGCUGCCAAUCCUCCUCUUUUUGCUGAGGAAAAGUGGUCCUGAGCUAACAUCUGUGCCCAUCUUCCUCUAUUUUAUAUGUAGGACUCCUGCCACAGCAUGGCUUGAUAAGUGGUGCAUAGGUCCACACCCAAGAUCUGAAUCAGUGAACCCUGGGCCGACGAAACAGAGCGGGCGAACUUACCACUACGCCAUCCGUUUGGCCCCUAAUGAUCCAUUUUUAAGCAGAGUAAAUUAGAUAUAAUUAAGCUUUUUUACCUGUAAACUGUGACUGAUCAUAAUAACUUCUUCUCAGGAUUGUGGUGAAGAUCAAAUGAUGAAUAUACGUAAAGCGGUUGAGAAGUGCCUGGCACGCAGUAAAUUCUAUGUAAUUACAACCUAAGACAUCACCCCUGCAAAAGAUCCGAGCCCGGAUAAAGUGGUUAAGGGAUGGCCGAAGGAGAGGAGUUGCCUGGGAUACUGGGAGCAAGCUAACGUGGAGUGGCUGAGCCUACCAGAGUCUCCCCUGUCCCUCUCAUCUGGAGAAGACAGUGUUCAGGCUUUCGUCCCUCUCCACAGACACAUGGUUGGCCAAGGUGGCCAUCAGACACGAGGGAAUAUGAGCUCACAAGAAAAAAAUGAGACAUCUGAGGACUGAAAAUACUAUAAAAUAAAGAUGACAAAACUGAAGAGCCAACAUCAGAGGAAGCACAAUUAAAGAACCAGGAAAAUAAACAUCAGAUUGAGCAUCAGAGAUGUCCUUGGAAAUAAGGGGAGGAAUUAGAAAUGUGGAAGUAUGAAAAGAAUAAUAGAUGUAAUGAGGAAGAAACAAUGCCAUAUGAGAAAGAAGACCGGGGUCGGUUUUUCUUCACCGGUGCUCAUGUACGUUACCUGCUGGCCUCUGAGACACUUGAAUCUGUGUCCCUUUGAAAGAUGAUGCCCAAAGAGGAUCAGUCCUGGGAUGUACAAAGUCUCAGCAAAGAGAAGUGAAAUACGUCCACUGUGGUUUGACAUGCCUUAUGAAGAUAGGACUGACAGGCCUUGCAGAUGGACCAGAUGUGGAGGGUGAGAAGCUGAGAGAAGAUGCUGAGAUUUCUAGCCUGAGCAUAUGGAUAUAAGGAAAACUAACGGAAGGACGUUUCCAGUAGGUCACUCAUAAUUCCACUUCCUGAAAAGAUGGUAUGCUAUCCAAGAGAAAGAGAAGAAGAAACUUGGGAAGUGUGUCCCACCCCCCCCCCCCCCCCGAGAUGGAGGCCAAAGGCCAGGCGGCAAGGGACUCUUGGACCCACUGUGCUCGCAUCAUCUGUGCUGCUGUGGAUCGACCACGGUCAGGAGCAGCUUGCAGGAAAACAGAAGACUCUGGGUCCCCAGAGGCAGGGGCCCCAGGAAGGAGAUUGCACGCCACCACGGCGUGUGCCUCGAGUGGCAGUUGAGCCCAGGAGAAAAUACAUGGGAAAACUGGCUCCUGGUGUGGCUGUUUCAGCAAACACAAAGAAGAGACCCCAAAGAGUAAAGUCCCCCAAUUAGGGCUGCUGUUGGCCCAGCUGCCUGCAGGCUGCUGUACCCAUCAAGCAAUGGAUGGUAAAGGUUGCCUCUUCCUAAGGAAAUACCUUGAAAACAGGAAUAAGGCUAAUGCCAAAAAUUCCAGACAUAGUCAAGGUGGUACGGAAGCUAUUUGGGGUCGUGGGAACCUUCUAGCAGGGCCUUGCAAAUUAGACCACAAAGUGCUCCAUUCUGAACACAGGCAGUUUUGAGAAACCAGCGUAGCUGGUGUGAGUUUUACUGCAUGACACUCAGAUGUAAGAAAUGUCACUUUUCCUUGUUUCUAUAAAUAAGAUCAUUUUGCUCAGGGCCCUUACCUUCUUGCUGAGUGGACCAUUCCAUCUCAGUCACUUCAAAUUCUCUCUCUCAUCUCAACAUCUCCCUACCACACACUCACACAUAUACACAGAGAAGGCUGCAAAAAUCCUGAGAUUGCAGGGUGCAAAAAACGCUAGGAAAGCAGCGAGUCAGUCCAGGAGACGCACAUAAAUGAAAUCCAUUGAGAUGGGAGCCACCGGCUGGGGAAAACACUAUACAUCUCAGAGCAAUGAGGUGUGAACCAGAUAGAUUUCUGCAAAGGGUGCAGCAAAUGAAGUGGUAAGAAGAGAGGCAGCGAGCCAGCCCUGAUGGUCUAGUGGUUAAAGUCCACCACUCUCACCACUUCGGCGGCCCCGGGUUCAGUUCCUGGUCACAGAACCACACCACCCAUCUGUCAGUUGCCAUGCUGUGAUGGCACCUCACACAGAAGAUCCAGAAGGACUUACAACAACAAUAUACAACUAUGCACUGGGGCUUUGGGGAGAAAAAAAAAAAAAGAAGAAAGGUAGCUUUCGUGUAGGCCUCAUUGGCUGUAAUGGCUUCCCCCAGAGACAGACCGUUGAGGUGGCCCAUUAAGCUGCAGGCAUUCACUGUGGGUCACACAUAGGAGGAUGAGAGAUGCAGAGGAGAGAGUCCCCUCGGCUCGGAGGCCCUAGAGCUCUCCUCUUGCCCAGGGCUCUGGAUGCGGGCCUCCUGUAAAGUGCUCCUUCCUGCUGUGUUCUCCUCAGACUUUCCUCCUCAACCUGAUCGCUCUGGUCUUGCCUCUGAUCUCACCUUCAGACCUUGGCUUUGCAUCUUGUUUCCCUUCUCCACUCGACCCCGCAGACUUGAUGUUUAAGCUCUUCUUAGCUCUCCAAGCACCCUCAUGCAGGAUUCAAGGAUUAGUUCCCUUUCCCUCACACCGAAGCCACAGAGACUUCCUACGGAGUCCCUCUCUCUGGCUGGCUCCAGGACUCAUAGUCUAGGAUAAACGCAUAGUACUCCCUCAAAGCCGGAGUUCAACAGUUAUCCUUGUUGGCCCCGGGGUCCCCAUUCACGCCAAGCUCCAGUUCACACUUGACAUGACAACUCUAGCUUGUUGGGUCUUUCCAUGGUCUGGCCUCACCCUGCUCUUUUCCUGGUGGUUGGUUGACUCCUCAACAAUUACAAAUUCUUCUUACUCGAAUGAGGGAGAGCAGGAGCUAUUUCAGUACUGGGCCCCUCAGUCCUGGGAUCCUGUGCCCACUAUUAAGCAGAACCCUCAUGCCCCUAAGGCUAACAGCUCCCUCUAGUGGCAGCGAUGCAACUACAGCUGCGGUCACUGAUAGUAAUAGCGAAUUUUUUGGUGUUUGUUUGUAGGCACCGUUUUGUGUAGUCGACAUAUAUUAAUAAUUUAAUAGUCACAUCAAUCCAUUGAGAGAGGCGUUAUUAGUAUCACCAUGUUACAGAUAAGGAGACAGACACAGAGAGAUUAACUUGCCCAAGAACUUAACAGCUAGUUAGGAACAGAGCCAGCCUCUGAGCCCAGGAGGUCUGCUUCCAAAGUUGGCGAUUUGAUCUCUGUACUAUGACUCCCUCUCAAAACGAAAGACAGUACCCGCUCACUCCACUAAAACCCUCAAACACACCUCCACCCUUCCCACAGAAAUUCCUUCUCCAGGAGGAUGGGCUACAGGCUUGCAGAUGCGUAGUGCGGGCCCCCUUCCCCCUUAGAAGGUAAGGUGAGAGGAGUUUGGUACUUCUCCUCUGACCAGGCAGGCCACUGCUCCAAGGUGCCUUUGGACAUCUCUUCAGGUUUCUGAGCUCUGUGGUGGUCCCCUGGUGUUUCUGGGUGCUGGCUUCAUGCCUAAGGUGGCAGCUCAGAUAUUAGCCUUGCUUCUCUCUUUAUAGAGAGGCCUAGCAGCCUAGAGAAAUGGCCUUGCCAGCAUAAGAUAGUUAUUAUCUUAAGCUGCAGGUUCAGACUAGGGAUCAGACUGAUUCUCCUCUUGCUAUGUGGCUAUGGCUCCUCAGCCAGGCACAGGAAUGUAAUGACUUUCGACCAUGGACUUGGUUUUAGAAAGGACUCAGGGACAUACUCUCCAAAGAACUUGUCUGCUCCGCUUCCCCAGGCAGUUAGGCCUCCUUAUAAAGAAAGAAGCAGGGCUAAUAUCUGAGCUGCCACCUUAGGCAUUAAGCGAGCACCCAGAAACACCAGGGGAGUAUCACAGAGCUCAGAAACCUGAAGAGAUGUCCAACUUCCAGUCAAAGAUCCCUGUAUUCAUGUGAGGGGCAAUUUUAGACUCAACAUGUUUCUCUGCCCAGAUGGUCCUGCAGGCUCAGCCCCCAUCUGACACUCAGCAGAAGGAGGAAUGUCAAGGGUGUCUUAUGAGAUAUUUCCACUGACCCUCAUGUGGGGAAGCAUGUGGUCCCCGUCAUUGGAGGAUGGGACCCGUGACAGUCUCAUGAGUGUUGUUUCCACUCUUGACUUUCCUUUCACUUUUGGUGCCUGCAUUGCCUUAAGCCAUGCAAAGCCUCAUUCUUCCUAGUAUCCCCAUGGUAGGAGUUCUGGGAAAAUACAGUCAACAUCUAUGAAUCCCAAACCCAAGUAGGCAUGCAGUCAUAUUCAGAGAAGCAGAGUCCACAAGCUAAAAGAAUUUUUAAAAGGAAGCCCAGUCUUUAACUUGCAUCUCUAUUAUAUCAGGAGGGACUUAAUUUAUAAUUUCCAAAAACAUUACAUGGGACACAGCCUUUAAAAGACUGCCAAAAGAACAGUCCUUGGAAUUUAUAAACAAAUACUUCUUGAGAAUCUUCUCUUCUUUUUUCCGUUACUCCAUCUGUGACAUUAAUUGCCCAGUCCCCCCAUAGCUGUUAAUUUCAAAAUGAGACUUGCCAGAGUUUUGCCCCUCACCAAAGGAAAAGUCCAAUGUUCUUCAUAGGAAAAACAAAGCAGGGAGAGUAAAUGUUAGAGUAAAUGUUUAUUCCCGCUGAGGACUUAAAAUAUAAAAGCAUUCCACAAUGAGACAUCAGAGCUUUUCUAAUUUAGAGGUUCCCAAAUUGGAGUUCACAAAGGUAGCACAUGGAACUAUUUGAAUAAAAUCUAAGACAUCAGUAAGGUAAAAUACAGUAUUAUUUUAUGUACCACUGAGAAAGAAAAAAAAAUGCUGCCAAUGAAACCAAAUGUUCUAUUUAUUAUAAGAUGCAUUGGAUUUUAGAGAUGUUAAAAUGUGGAAAGGAAUUUAUGCCUUAGAAUCAGUGAAAUAUGGUUGUAUCAGUGUUGUUAGGGUGAAAUGGGCCACUCCUUGAAGGGUGCUUAGAGAGGUGUUUGACACACAGUAAGAGCUCAAUAAAUGUUAGCUAUGAACUUUAGUUGUUGAAAUGUUUUGGCUAUUCAUGUAUUCAGGAUUUAAUUCUAGUAGAGGCAAGAGGUUGUAUUCAGGGAGAAUAAUUCACAUUCCCAUGGCAGAAUGGAGAAGUGUAGGUUGAGUUGGUGAGUUGGGUGGUCGUGAGGAGACUGCCUGAGGGUAGACCAGAAAGACGGGCUGUGUGGAGCUAAGGUGAGCACAUUCUGUCCAUGCUUGAGGGAGGACCUAUAAGUCUGGCCACAGCCUACAGCCAGGCUAGAGAUUGGGAGCCCUUGCCUACUGGAAGCAAAGUCACAGCAGGCAAGGCUUGGGUGAGAAGGUUUAAGAACCUGUACUAUUACCUUAAAAAUGAGGCCAUGAACUAAUCACGUGCCUGCUACCAAAGGAUCCCUCAUCUAAGAGAGAAUGACUGCAUUCUUGAGGAAUGAUGGGGUGGUUGUACCACCAGAGAAGGUAAAGUAAGACUGCUCCAUGAUGCCUCUCCACUCCCCGCAAAGCUCAGUGUGGAGCCAAGGCGCCCUUGAACCCUUUGCAUCCUUCUCCAACAUUCCCUCUGGUUUCACGUGUAUUGUCAGCUAGGACUUACCGUUCAGAGUGAGGAGUUGGAACCCCCAAGGUUUUCAUGAAAGAAUGGAUGCCAUCAGUCAGAGCAAGUGGGACACAAACAGGUGACAGCAUGUUAAAUCUCUCCCAUUUUCUAUUCCUCAGAAACCCACAUUAGAGGAAGAGCCAAGGCAGCUGCCAAGAGCAGCUGUAUCGAUGUUGAGCGGACUUGUUGCAGAAAUCAGCUUUCUGCCCUAGUCCUUGAGCUUUCUGCUGGCCCAGAAAGUGGAGCCUACCCCUGGGGAAUGAAUCCCAGGUCUGCAUAUGGCGGCAGGCCUGCUCAGGGUGGGCAUGCAGGGACCAGGUUCAACUUCUGGACAGCUGCAUGUUGGGCAGGGAGCACUCAUGGCAAGAGCCAGGGCUGUUUGAGCGAAAGACUAUGGCUUCUGUUUCUACUCAGCAUUUGACUAUAAGGUUUCCCAGCCUCCAGAGCUCAGCAAGGAGACAGCCUACACUUCCUGUUCACAGGCAAUCAUGGCGGGCACAGAUUUAUCCACCACCGACUAACAUGUAAGAUAUUACAUGCAUUGUUCUGUCCCCUAUGGAAAGCCAUAGAAAAAUUAUGAAAGGAGGAUCAGCUGUGGGGAAAUCAAGAGUUUUAUGUAAAGCUCUUGGUGUCCAUAGCUGACUUGGGUUAAAUCUCUUUUAGAGUAAUAUAUGAGUAAAUUAUUCAAGCAAAUCGUUUUAAGACUGAAUAACCUGAUGCAAACUCAAUUUGGGAAAUGUCAGAGUUUACUUCCUCUACGGCACAAAUAAUUUUUUUCACAUCUUGAAUUUGGGAUUUAUGAUUUUCAACCCUAGGGUCACCUUUGAAGUGUAAAGGCGAUCAAACAAUAACUUCCUAUCUCUUGAGGCUUUUAGCUAACCCCCCAAUUUCUACACACUUUCUAGAAGAUAUUUAGCGUACAUCAAAGAGAGACUUUGAUCAAAAACAUAUUGUUUUGGCCAAGGCCAAGCACUGUUGUUCAUUUUCUUUUUGACCAGUAGAAUUGGGCAUGUGCGUGCAUGCAUACACACAAAGAUAUUCUGAUUCUGUUGAUUUCUCUGAGGAGGCUCUAACCAAAGACAGACAUCUACUAUUGUGAUUUACUAAACCUUUUUUUAAAUAAAAAGACUAACUUCCAAUCAUUUCUCUUUAAUUCUCCAUUAAGUAAAAGAUGGGGUAUCACCACCAUAGUUUGCCCAAGAAACAGCAGACGUGUCACUUUAUCCCAAAUUCUCUCUAUGCUUUAGCUUUUCCUUCUUUCUUUCCUUAGCAUUGUCUUCAGUGAGAUACUAGGUAUUCUGCAAGCUUUCAUGAGCUCCUUCUCUCCACAGUAAGAUCUCUAAGGAGACCAGUUCCAGAUUGGUUGGAAUUCUUGCUGGGAAAGAGAGCUAUGCGAGGCUUCUGUGAGGCGAAGGUCAGGACAUUGUCCUUUAGAUCACACAAAACAAUAUUGAAGAGUGGAAGUGUGCAUUACCUUUAAGGAUCAAAGGAAUACUGUCCCUAGGAUUUUUUUUAGAAACUGUAAUUAAGAAUUUUAUUGAGAUGCAAUUUACAUGCCAUAAAAUUUAAUUAUUAAAAUUUAAAUUAAUGACUUUGAUAUAUUUAUAGAGGUGUGCAACCAUCACCACCAUCUAAUUUGAGAAUACUUCCAUCACCCCAAAAAGAAACCUUGUGCUCAUUUACAGUGACUCCUCAUUCCCUUCCUCUUUUCAGCUAAUAUGAAUAAUGCCACUGUCACCUGAAUGGUGCUUAGAGGUGAAGGUAAUAUUUCCAAAAACACUUUACUGUGACACCUUUCUUUCCUCAGACUUUCAACCUUGCCUCCUCAUCUCUGUUUUUUUUGGAUGUAACUUAAAUGCUUAUGUUAUUCAUAAAGAUUUUAAAAUUUCAACAUCUCCAACACCCUUUGACUAUGUACAUGGCUUCUGAUUUUAUAGCAGUAGGCAUUUUCAAAUGGCUUGUUUUUACAAAUAAAAUAUAUUUAUCAGAUAUUAAGCAUAAAUAAAUAGCAGAAAUUUAAAAAUUAACGUGAAAGUCUUGUCUUUUAAUAGGAUAAUCUUAUGCAUUUACAUUUAUUGUCAUGACAUAAAUUUGGUCUCUCAUCUUGAAUUUUACGUUUUGCGUUUUUUCUUAUGCUUCCUUUUUU